rnacentral:sRNA from 1 species
CAUUUGUGCUGGUAUGAUCGCAUCAGUUACUACAUGCAAUGCGAUCAUAUAUAUUCUUUUUUGAAGACUUUACAAUCCAUUUGUCGUAGGUCCCACCAGCUAUGUAGGAAUCCCCUAUCUUGUUUAUAAGAGCUUUGAUACAUGCAAAAUAUUCGAAAACAAUGUUCGAACAUA